AGGUUGUUGCAUGGCUGUCGUCAGCUCGUGUCGUGAGGUGUUCGGUUAAGUCCGCUAACGAGCGCAACCCUCGUCGUAUGUUAUAUGUGUCAUACGAGACUGCCGGUAAAAGCCGGAGGAAGGUGAGGAUGAUGUCAAGUCAGCAUGACCUUUAUAUCCAGGGCUACACACACGCUACAAUGGUCUGUACAAUGGGUAGCCAAGCCGCGAGGCGGAGCCAAUCCUGAAAGCAGGCCUCAGUUCAGAUUGCAGUCUGCAACUCGACUGCAUGAAGCCGGAGUUGCUAGUAACCGCAGGUCAGCAAUACUGCGGUGAAUACGUUCCCGGGUCUU
rnacentral:rRNA from 1 species